rnacentral:misc_RNA from 1 species
CUGCAACAAACAUCAUG